rnacentral:rRNA from 1 species
CCUGAGAAACCCAAAAGAUCGAAUGGGGAGAUUCAUCGUCAGCGGCUUUGGCUUCCGUGCGGUACGCGAUGGCAGGGACUUCGGUCUCGCGUCACGCUGCCGCUGCGGCAUGUCCGGAGUCGUCGGCGUGCACUUCUCCCCUAGUAGGACGUCGCGACCCGUUGGGUGUCGGAUCGAUGGCCGGUCGGUCGUCUGUUGCGCUCGCGCUCCAGACCGAUUCGGUCGAAAGUCCGGCUGCCCGGCGGUAUUGAACGAUAUGAACUGGUAUCGGGCCGCACUCGAAUGCGUUCUGGCUCGUCGGCAGGCUCGCCUCGCUCGGAUUUACGGACCUAGUGCCGUUGCCGGGCGCUUGGCGUGGCCGUUAGUCGACGAUGUCCUCGAACUGGCCCUUACCCGUCGG